UAAAAGACCAGUUGAAGAACAGCCAAAACCUGUCUCUGCUCACGUUGCUCUCAAGGUUGCCACGUCCACCUGACGUGCAUCUGCAUCCUGCUGCCCUGAGAUGUUGCUAAGUGACCAGCAACCAGGCUCAAAAGCUACAACGCCUGCUGCUGCAGUGCAAAAAUAAACAGUUCAGAACGCCAGUUUGGAACCAGUAUCAGGAAGCAGUUGGAUUUUCUGAUGCAAAGGGGAUUUUUGCUUCUGCCUGAGAACAGCCGAGAUUAUGUCAUAAGAAAGGGGCAGAAGAAGCAUCACCAACUCUAAGGAACCAAAGUCUCUCCAGCCACCAAAAUGAAUGCAGCUGCCACUUAGGGGAAGUGGACAAGGACAGAACCACCCAGAGAUGAUGGUGAGAAAAGGCAGAAGGCCUGGGAGCUGGAAAAUGACUCCAUGGAGUAAAAGAUCACAGCAUCCUUUGGGACAAGACCGAUGUUCAUGACAAGGGGUCCCCGAUCUCCGGGCCUUGGAGGCGUACCUGUCUGCGACCUGUUAGGAACCAGGCCACACAGCAGGAGGGACACUGUGGACAGCGGUUUACUGAGUCAAACAUCUCAGGAGCAGAAUGUUGAAUGCCACCCUCUCCUCAAGAUGGCAUAGUAGAGCAUGUGUGCAUGUAAUUAUUUUCACUAAACACUAUAUAUGUUCUAAAUUUGUUUGCACUUGAAAUAGGAAUGCUUUACUUUUAAUAAGGUCUCAGGA
rnacentral:lncRNA from 1 species